UAACAAAUCAGUCAAAAUACUCUAAUAUAGGAAAACCACACUUGUAGAAAUGCCACUUUACGUUGUUCAUACCUUUAGAGAGAAACAUAUUUUAGGUAAAUCUUAGACAAUUACAACAGAAAAGGAGGUUUUACUUGAAGUUGAGGAAGAUAUUGAUGGCUGGAAAGAAAAAGAAAAUCUCAAGAAUGAGUUAAAUCAAAUAAAGGAAUUAAAUAGAAAGAAGUGAUAUGUAGCCUCCCACAGGAUAUGAGUGGAGUCCAGAAAGAGUUGAAAAUGAAAGAAUAUUACUAUGGAAAUAAUGUAACUUUGGAAUGUGAGGAUGGGUAUACUCUAGAAGGCAGUUCUCAGAGCCAGUGCCAGUCAGAUGCCAACUGGGAUCCUCCUCUGGCCAAAUGUGUAUCUCUACAGUGAAAAAUACCAUCCAGUCCCAUGAACACCAGUCACUAAGAGUGAAGCUUCUAGCUGGGAACUGCCAGGGAAGGCAUGUAAGAUGAGUGACCUGCUGCCAGCAGAGAUUGGAGAAAAGGAGACCCAAGAUUGUGGACUAUCAACCCUCCAUGUGUUCCCCUCCGGAUCUUCUGCUUAGCAUGCCUCUAGAGGGCCAAGGCAGAAAUGCCUAUGUGUCCCAAGGCCAUGCUUUAUGGUGUGCACAUGUCAUGUCCUCCUCCAUAUAAAUACUUCUUGUAAUAGUA